rnacentral:rRNA from 1 species
AAAAGAGCAUCUCUCUCUAAAAAAAAGGUACUAUACUAUUAUUAAUUAACUUAAAAUGGGGAAAGAUACCUUUUGCAUCAUGUAUAAAUAAGAAUAAAAAAUAAGAAGUUUCACGAAUAAUUAAGAAUAAAAAAUAUACGGUUAAAAAUGUGGUAACAUUUUAAUAAAUAUAGUUUUUGGAAUGAUAUGUUUAAAUUAAAUAAAUUCUUGUUAAAUUUUAAUAGGUUAAAUCUAAUUGUUAGAAAAAUAUAAUAUUUUAGGAGAUAAGUCUUAAGAUUUUAAUUAAAUAAAAAAUAUAAAAGUAUAAAAUAUAAAUAUUAAUGUUAAAUAGAAUAUAUUAAAAUUCUAAGUGUUUAGGUUUUAGGGUUUAUUGUUAGAAAAUUUUUUAAGGUUAAAUUAUAUAACUUUAUUGAUUAUAUUUAUAUGAGUAGUUAAAUUGUAAAAAAUAAAAAUAAAUAAAAAUUUUUUAGUUUAAAAUAAAAAUUAAGAUAAAAUUACUCGACUCUAUAUAUUUAGCCUGUUUAUCAAAAACAUUGUAAAUUAGAUUUAUAAUGCCUGCUCAAUGAAAUAUUUAAAUAGCCGCGUUAGUGUUAAGGUAGCAUAGUAAUUAGUUUUUUAAUUGGAAAAUGGAAUGAAUGGUUUCACUAAGAUAUGGUAUUUAUGCUAAUAAAUGAAAUUUUAAUUUAAGUGAAAAUACUUAAAAGAUCUUUUAAGACGAGAAGACCCUAUGAAGCUGAUAGACCAUAAAUAUAAUUAUUAUAAAUUUUUAAGUUUAUUUUUUGGGGUAAAAUUUAAUAAUUUUAUUUAAAUGGGCUUAUUUUAAUUGAUCCUUUAGGAAUUAUGAAAGAGCUCCUCUAGGGAUAACAGCAUUAUACCUAUAAGAGUUCUUAUCAGAAUAGGUGUUUGUGACCUCGAUGUUGAAUUAAAUACUUUUAUUUGUGCAGGAGCUAAUAAAAGACGGUCUGUUCGACCCUUAAUAUUUACAUGAUUUGAGUUAAAAUCGACGCAAGUCAGAUUGGUUUCUAUCUAAAAUUCAAAGUAUUAUUACUUAGUACGAAAGGAAUAGUAAUAGUUUU